UACGUAGGGGGCGAGCGUUGUCCGGAAUUACUGGGCGUAAAGGGCGCGCAGGCGGCCUGUCAAGUACGUGGUGAAAGCGCUCGGCUCAACUGAGCGAGGACCGCGUAGACUGGGAGGCUGGAGUCUCACAGAGGCGAGUGGAAUUCCCGGUGGAGUGGUGAAAUGCGUAGAGAUCGGGAGGAACACCAGUGGCGAAGGCGGCUCGCUGGGUGAGAACUGACGCUGAGGCGCGAAAGCGUGGGGAGCGAACUGA
rnacentral:rRNA from 1 species